rnacentral:rRNA from 1 species
CCCGGUGGCUAUACCGAUGGGGUCACACCUCUUCCCAUUCCGAACAGAGAAGUUAAGCCCAUCAGGGCCGAUGGUACUAUGCUGGUAACGGCAUGGGAGAGUAGGUCGCUGCCGGGU